rnacentral:rRNA from 1 species
UAUUGGACAAUGGGCGAUAGCCUGAUCCAGCCAUGCCGCGUGCAGGAAGAAUGUCCUAUGGACUGUAAACUGCUUUUGUACGGGAAGAACCGGGGGCACGAGUGCCCCCCUGACGGUACCGUAAGAAUAAGGAUCGGCUAACUCCGUGCCAGCAGCCGCGGUAAUACGGAGGAUCCGAGCGUUAUCCGGAAUCAUUGGGUUUAAAGGGUCCGUAGGCGGGCCGUUAAGUCAGGGGUGAAAGUCUGCGGCUCAACCGUAGAACUGCCCUUGAUACUGGCGGCGUUGAGUUAUGGUGAAGUAGCCAGAAUAUGUGGUGUAGCGGUAAAAUGCAUAGAUAUCACAUGGAAUACCGAUUGCGAAGGCAGGCCACUAACCGUAUACUGACGCUGAUGGACGAAAGCGUGGGUAGCGAACA